CUAAUAACUCACUCCUUGAGACUGGAUACUGAAGAAUGUUUAUAACGGAUAUUUCUCUCUCUGAAAUACUUACUCUCAGUCCAGUGGGGCCAGCAGGUCCCUUCUCACCAGGCUUGCCAGACUCGCCCUGCAACAAGAUUUUGUCAUAAUGGACUGGACAGAUAUAAAGUAGUAAGAGGCUGAUACUCACUCUAGCUCCAACAAGACCAGGCUCACCAGCACGACCGGCAUCUCCAGGAGGUCCACGGGCUCCAGGGGCACCAGUAGCACCACGGGCACCAGGCAUGCCCUAAGAUACAAGAUUCAUAGAUCAGUGUCUUAAAUAAAGCAUCAGAACAAUCUCCUUUCAAUACAGAACAGAUCUUUUUAUAUCACUUGAAUCUUACCAUUGGGCCCGAUCUGCCAGCCAGACCAGGCAGACCACGAGUACCAGCAGCUCCCUGCAAGAAACCCUUGGCCCAAACUUACUCUAGGUCCACGCAGUCCAGCGGGUCCAGUAGCUCCCUGCUCACCAGUUGAGCCUCUCUUGCCCUCUUCACCAGAAGGACCAGGGAGUCCCUGAGGACCAACACUACCCUGUACAGGAAAAGGCUCACCCUUGACACCAGCAUCUCCUUUCACUCCAACGGGUCCAGGGUCACCCUGAGCAUCGAAACAGUUCAAAGCCAAAAACCCAAAAAUGGCAGCUAAGGCUAAUCAGAUGGUACUCACAGCAAGACCUCUAGGACCAGAGGCUCCAGAAGGUCCUUGGGGGCCAGGGCCUCCUCUAGGGCCAGGGAAACCAGGGGCACCAGCAACUCCA